ACCGUCAGAUCAUUUUCUGAUUAAUUUCCUCCCUAGAUCAUUCGACCAGCUACUUAUGCAGCCUGUGACAUAUUUAAAUCACUGUCAUCUCUUAACUUCUCAGCCGGUUAAAAAAAAUAGAGCUUUCUCAAGCCGCGUUGCCAUUUCCACUGGCCGGAUAUGCCUGACUUCUUUUCCCUUGGGCUAACGGUGCAGUCCCGUCAUCAUCUUUCUCACCUCCACGGAUGACUAAACUCUUUCUCCUAUCUACAGUACCACGAGCUUCAUCACUCUCGUGGGUGCGUCGGAGGAGUUCAUGUAUCGGUCAGUUAAGAGUUUUUUAACGGGCAAGCACGAGACGGUAUAAAAAGCUUCAGAGGAAAUUUGUAUUUUAACGAUAUUAUAGCAGUUGCCAACUGUGUGGUUUUGAUUGUUACCACUUACCAGGUUAGUACCUGAUGCAAUAGGGACCACAUGCAAGCCAUGGUUGAAAACAAUUAGUGGACACAGAAUUUACUCAUAUCUUGAGAGUUCAUUUUGGAUUAGAUAAAGCAAUUCUUAGAAAAUGGAUCCCAAGAUUUAUGUAUGGUCGUGCUUGGAAACCUUUGCUGAGCUAUCUUCGAGCUAUUUCACUUGCUUCCUCAAGCAGCAUCAAGGUUUCUUGAUAAACUUAUAACCUUGACCAUUAAUUUGAAAAAGGCUCUUCCCCAUAGACAAGUUUUCAGAAACAAUACAUAUCAACUUCUUUUUACUAAAUAAUUAAAUCGGUAUGCGACACUUACGAUUGAUUACUUUUUUGCUCGAUUAAGUAAUCUAAACUAUUUCAGACAUAAAUGUUAAAAUGUUGGAGCAGAUAAUUAGUUAUGGACAUGGAUUUUUUUGUUCUUUCGUUGGUAUUUUUUGUUCUCUUUCGACUUGCAGGUUCAUGUAGCAUUAUAUGAUCACGUGCAUGACAACUUUUAAGGGAUGAACUUGCAAAGUCUCCACAGAAGAUACUUGGUAGUGCCUUUUAGAAAUUAUACUAAAAGCAGAUGCAACAAUUCUCUUGGUUCUUCGUCUACAGCUGGGGCUUUAGUGGGUGAUGAAGGCAUCAUUGCCUCUCUACCUGAGGCUUUCAAUUUAUUGUUGUUUCCCAUGCUACAACUUCCGAUGCUUAUUUUCAAGGGCUUGCACUUAUUAAAACUUUAUUUAAACUGAUUCCUAGCUGGUUAUAUAGUAACCGUACAAGGUUUGAUACUUUAGUGCUAGUGCGGAAGCCACCUGCAAGAACUUUUCGUUGGCGAAAUGAACAAGAGCAUUGGUUCUUAAUCAUUGAACUAAUACUAAUGAAUUGAAUAGUUGUUUAUA